CCUCUUGUAGUUAAAUAUUUCUCAUGCAGUAGUUGCGCUCUGUUUUCUUUAGUUUGUUCCUGGUUUUUACACACAAUUAUAUUGACAUUGAUCUUUCCGAUUUCAGGUGAGGCUUAAGCGAGAGCAUUUAAAUAUAGCAAAAUUUGAGCCCGAGCAUGGACUUGAUCCAAUGCUAGACUUAGUUUUGGUUGGAUCGGAGUGGCAACUGAAGAUUCAAAGCUGUGCCAGCAACUGACAGGACAAACUGAUCCCACGUUCCAUAGAACAAGAUGCCCUCUCACCAAUUGAGGUCACUUGUGAAUUUUCUCACACACUCUGUCAACCACUACAGAUGAGCUUGUACGUAUCAGAACGUCCAUGGUUGAAAGGUCUAGAUACUGUAAUUGUGAAUGGAUGAAUCAUAUACACCUCACAUCUUCUCCGUUUCAUGUAUUAUUAACUAGUAAGGUAGGAAGAGAUCAAGAAUAGCUAGCAUUUUUUAUGUAAUCUAUGUAUGCAUGUGCACGUGAAUGCGCGCGUGCACAUCAUAUCUGUUAUCCAGGGUCUUGUUUGCUGUUGCAAGUUGUGGAUUGAAAUGUUUUCUCGAGGCAAUCUAGUGUUAGUUUUCCUUUCACACAGGCUGCUGGAGUAUUCGAGAUUCAAUUGGCAGAGUCCAUAUCGGAGGGUGAUGGCUAGCUUGCAUUUAAGAAGCUUGCAACUGCAACACUUGGACAAUUGAUGCCGUGAAUAGAAGGGAAGGGAGAGCUUGGCCACGCCGGAUGGAGGCUAGUCUACGCCCCAGAUUCCUAGUUUACUUUCUGUUGAUCCUACAAUUAAUCCUCUUAAAUCUCUGGCCAAUAUUAUUUCAUUUGGUUUCAGAGGUUGAGGCUCAGCUUGGGAAUCGUCUUCAGGCCUCCGUUGUAAGGCAGAUGAAGGCCUCUGAAAUGGCUACGCAAUGGACCCUGCUCUACCAUCUUACCAGCCGUUUGCGAGUGCUCCUACAAUCUGCUCCUUCCAAACGGCUCUUUUUUGAAUAUUAUGUUAAACAGUUAUUAAAAAAUCAAUGAAAUCAAAUCUAGGCACGAUCGAGAUUCUUGACAAACACAUGUUCUUGGGCUGUCGAUAUCAGUUCUGUCGAAAGACUUGAAACAACUGACGUGCAUGAAUCGCAUGUAUAUGGCUAUUUUUCUGGAGCAACGAUGUCAUUUUCUUCUUUUUGA